UUUACCCUACGGGGCGCAGCAGUGAGGAAUAUUGGUCAAUGGUCGGGAGACUGAACCAGCCAAGCCGCGUGAGGGAGGAAGGUACAGAGUAUCGUAAACCUCUUUUGUCAGGGAACAAAGGCGGGGACGUGUCCCCGGAUGAGUGUACCUGAAGAAAAAGCAUCGGCUAACUCCGUGCCAGCAGCCGCGGUAAUACGGAGGAUGCGAGCGUUAUCCGGAUUUAUUGGGUUUAAAGGGUGCGCAGGCGGAAGAUCAAGUCAGCGGUAAAAUUGAGAGGCUCAACCUCUUCGAGCCGUUGAAACUGG
rnacentral:rRNA from 1 species